rnacentral:rRNA from 1 species
GACGAACGCUGGCGGCGUGCCUAAUACAUGCAAGUAGAACGCUGAAGCGAGGAGCUUGCUCUUCUUGGAUGAGUUGCGAACGGGUGAGUAACGCGUAGGUAACCUGCCUUGUAGCGGGGGAUAACUAUUGGAAACGAUAGCUAAUACCGCAUAACAAUGGAUGACACAUGUCAUUUAUUUGAAAGGGGCAAUUGCUCCACUACAAGAUGGACCUGCGUUGUAUUAGCUAGUAGGUGAGGUAACGGCUCACCUAGGCGACGAUACAUAGCCGACCUGAGAGGGUGAUCGGCCACACUGGGACUGAGACACGGCCCAGACUCCUACGGGAGGCAGCAGUAGGGAAUCUUCGGCAAUGGGGGCAACCCUGACCGAGCAACGCCGCGUGAGUGAAGAAGGUUGUCGGAUCGUAAAGCUCUGUUGUAAGUCAAGAACGAGUGUGAGAGUGGAAAGUUCACACUGUGACGGUAGCUUACCAGAAAGGGACGGCUAACUACGUG